rnacentral:rRNA from 1 species
AUUGAACGCUGGCGGUAUGCUUAACACAUGCAAGUCGAACGGUAGCAGGCCUUCGGGCGCUGACGAGUGGCGGACGGGUGAGUAACGCGUAGGAAUCUGCCUAGUAGUGGGGGACAACUUAGGGAAACUUAAGCUAAUACCGCAUACGCCCUACGGGGGAAAGAAGGGGAUCGCAAGACCUUUUGCUAAUAGAUGAGCCUGCGUAGGAUUAGCUAGUUGGUGGGGUAAAAGCUCACCAAGGCGACGAUCCUUAACUGGUUUGAGAGAAUGAUCAGUCACACUGGAACUGAGACACGGUCCAGGCUCCUACGGGAGGCAGCAGUGGGGAAUAUUGGACAAUGGGCGAAAGCCUGAUCCAGCAAUACCGCGUGUGUGAAGAAGGCCUUAGGGUUGUAAAGCACUUUCAAUUGGAAGGAAAACCUCGAAGCUAAUAUCUUCGAGUUUGACAUUACCUUUAGAAGAAGCACCGGCAAACUCCGUGCCAGCCGCCGCCGUAA